ACUACACAUUGACCAUCGCGUUACUACGCCAUUCUUGAGAGACGAGAAUUGAAAAGAGGUGGGCGUGGGGGGAGGUAGCAGGCGGGUUUGACCGGUGGGAGGGGGCUUUGACCGUUCUUUGACCGAAGUGGGAGGUGGGUUUUGGGCCCUAGGGAGGGGGAGGUGGGUUGGCCCAUGAGAGACCUCCCCCCACACCCACCCCUUUUUGGUUUGUGUCGCAGGAACAUUGUAGUAACGUGAUGGUCAAUGUGUAGUA
rnacentral:ncRNA from 3 species